rnacentral:rRNA from 1 species
AGAGUUUGAUCAUGGCUCAGAACGAACGCUGGCGGCAGGCCUAACACAUGCAAGUCGAGCGCCCCGCAAGGGGAGCGGCGGACGGGUGAGUAACACGUGGGAAUUUUCCUCAAGGUACGGAACAACUCAGGGAAACUUGGGCUAAUACCGUAUGAUGCAGAGAUGCCAAAGAUUUAUCGCCUUGGGAUAAGCCCGCGUCAGAUUAGGUAGUUGGUGGGGUAAUGGCCUACCAAGCCUGUGAUCUGUAGCUGGUCUGAGAGGACGAUCAGCCACAUUGGGACUGAGACACGGCCCAAACUCCUACGGGAGGCAGCAGUGGGGAAUCUUGCGCAAUGGGCGAAAGCCUGACGCAGCCAUGCCGCGUGAAUGAUGAAGGUCUUAGGAUUGUAAAGUUCUUUCGCUCGUGACGAUGAUGACGGUAACGAGAGAAGAAGCCCCGGCUAACUUCGUGCCAGCAGCCGCGGUAAUACGAAGGGGGCUAGCGUUGUUCGGAAUUACUGGGCGUAAAGCGCGCGUAGGCGGCUUUGCAAGCCAGAGGUGAAAUGCCUGAGCUCAACUUAGGAAUUGCCUUUGGGACUGCGAGGCUUCGAGGACGGAAGAGGUGAGUGGAAUUCCCAGUGUAGAGGUGAAAUUCGUAGAUAUUGGGAAGAACACCGGUGGCGAAGGCGGCUCACUGGUCCGUUUCUGACGCUAAAGCGCGAAAGCGUGGGGAUCAAACAGGAUUAGAUACCCUGGUAGUCCACGCUGUAAACGAUGAGUGCUAGGCGUCGGCACGCUUGCGUGUCGGUGCCGCAGCUAAC